GAUGAACGCUGGCGGCGUGCUUAACACAUGCAAGUCGAACGGAGCUUGUUGGAUUGAGGUUUCGGCCAAAUGAAUUCAAGCUUAGUGGCGGACGGGUGAGUAACGCGUGAGGAACCUGCCUUGGAGUGGGGAAUAACAGUUAGAAAUGACUGCUAAUACCGCAUAAUGCAAUUGAGUCGCAUGGCUCUGAUUGCCAAAGAUUUAUCGCUCCAAGAUGGCCUCGCGUCUGAUUAGCUAGUUGGUGGGGUAACGGCCCACCAAGGCGACGAUCAGGAGCCGGACUGAGAGGUUGGCCGGCCACAUUGGGACUGAGACACGGCCCAGACUCCUACGGAGGCAGCAGUGGGGAAUAUUGGGCAAUGGGCGAAAGCCUGACCCAGCAACGCCGCGUGAAGGAAGAAGGCUUUCGGGUUGUAAACUUCUUUUAUCAGGGACGAUAAUGACGGUACCUGAUGAAUAAGCCACGGCUAACUACGUGCCAGCCGCCGCCGUAAAAC
rnacentral:rRNA from 1 species